rnacentral:rRNA from 1 species
AUGGCGUGGGUGCGCGUGCGGAGGCCCCCGCUGCUGCAGUCCAAGCUGCUCUGCCUCUCGCUGCUCUACCUCCUCACCACGCUCCCGCUCGCGCUCUACGUCUCCUUCUCCGACCCCUCGCGCUGCCUGCCCCUCCACCUCCUCCUCCGCCCCGCCCGCCCCUCCCCUCCGGCGACGGCGCUCUUCGACUACCCGCGCGACUACGGCGCGCACAAGUACGCACUCCCCACCCCGCGCGCGCUCUGCUCCGACCCGGCCGUGUUCUCAGAUUAUAACACCGUUUUGCAAGAGAUCAAUGGCCUCGGCCGCAACCUCUCGGCGACACCUCGUGCAUCCCCUGGGUUGCGGUACAAGACCGGCAGGAGGGACUCGUUUGCGGGAAAUUUGUCCACCGAGGAACGGAGAUCCUUCUUCAAUCACACAGACAGCGCAGUGGAAAUCCCAUGUGGAUUCUUCAAGGACUUUCCCCUCGCACAAGCCGACAGAUCGGCCAUGGAGAGCUGCCGAGGGGUGGUCAUCGCCUCGGCAAUCUUCAAUGACCACGACAAGAUCCGGCAGCCAAAGGGGCUCGGGUCCCAUACAGUCAAGGCGGCGUGUUUCUUCAUGUUCAUCGACGACCGUACCCACCGGGUCCUGGCGAGCCACGGCAUCCUGGAAGACGAGCAUGUCGCGUCGGCCAGCGCGUUCGUCGGUGCAUGGCGCGUGGUGACGCUGCAGCAGCAGCAGCAGCUCCCCUACGAGGACCCCGCCAUGAACGGCGUCGUGGUGAAGCACCUGCUGCAUAGGCUCUUCCCGAACGCCAGGUUCAGCGUCUGGAUCGACGCCAAGAUGCAGCUCACGGUGGACCCGCUGCUGCUGGUGCACUCCCUCCUCGUCGGCAAGGGCGCGGACAUGGCGGUCUCCAGGCACCCGUUCAACCUCCACGCCAUGGAGGAGGCGAUCGCCACGGCGCGGUGGCGCAAGUGGCGCGACGUGGACGCCAUCAGGGCGCAGAUGGAGGCCUACUGCAGCUACGGCCUGCAGCCAUGGUCCCCCAGCAAGCUCCCAUAUCCUUCAGAUGUGCCGGACACGGCGAUCAUCAUCAGGAGGCACGGCUCGGCGAGCGACCUCUUCUCCUGCCUGCUCUUCAACGAGCUGGAGGCGUUCAACCCGCGGGACCAGCUGGCCUUCGCCUACGUGCGGGACCAAAUGAGCCCCAAGGUGAGCAUCAACAUGUUCGAGGUGGAGGUGCUGGAGCACAUCAGCGUCGAGUAUCGGCAUAACCUGAAGCGCGAUAAUGGCGGCGGGGGAGGAGGGGCGAAGCAGGGGAUCGCCAGGAUGGCAUCCUCGCAAGACAUCGCCGGGAGCAGCUGUGAGGGGUACCUCAUGAAGAUGUGGGGGGAGCCUUCUGAAUAA